UCCGUAGGUGAACCUGCGGAGGGAUCAUUACACAACAAAAUAUGAAGGCCUGGCUUUGCGGCCGGCUGAAAUAUUUUUUUCACCCAUGUCUUUUGCGCACUUGUUGUUUCCUGGGCGGGUUCGCCCGCCACCAGGACCAAACCAUAAACCUUUUUUUUAUGCAGUUGCAAUCAGCGUCAGUAUAAACAAUGUAAUUAUUACAACUUUCAACAACGGAUCUCUUGGUUCUGGCAUCGAUGAAGAACGCAGCGAAAUGCGAUACGUAGUGUGAAUUGCAGAAUUCAGUGAAUCAUCGAAUCUUUGAACGCACAUUGCGCCCUUUGGUAUUCCAAAGGGCAUGCCUGUUCGAGCGUCAUUUGUACCCUCAAGCUUUGCUUGGUGUUGGGCGUUUUUGUCUCCCUCUUUGCUGGGAGACUCGCCUUAAAACGAUUGGCAGCCGGCCUACUGGUUUCGGAGCGCAGCACAUAUUUUGCACUCUGUAUCAGGAGAAAAGGACGGUAAUCCAUCAAGACUCUUACGAUUUUUAACUUUUGACCUCGGAUCAGGUAGGGAUACCCGCUGAACUUAAG
rnacentral:rRNA from 1 species